CAGCCGCCGCGGGAAUACGGAGGGGGCUAGCGUUGUUCGGAAUUACUGGGCGUAAAGCGCACGUAGGCGGCUUGGUAAGUUAGAGGUGAAAGCCUGGAGCUCAACUCCAGAAUUGCCUUUAAGACUGCCGAGCUAGCAGGUGAGAGAGGUAAGUGGAAUUCCGAGUGUAGAGGUGAAAUUCGUAGAUAUUCGGAAGAACACCAGUGGCGAAGGCGGCUUACUGGCUCAUACUGGACGCUGAGGUGCGAAAGCGUGGGGAGCAAACAGGAUUAGAGACCCCGGUAGUCCCUGUCUCUUAUAU
rnacentral:rRNA from 1 species